rnacentral:tRNA from 1 species
GCCUGGGUGGCUCAGUUGGUUAAGCGUCUGACUUCGGCUCGGGUCAUGAUCUCACAGUUCGUGGGUUCAAGUCCCAUGUCGGGUU